AGUCGAACGGAAGUCGUUAUAAAAAGGAUUGAAGAUUUAUCUGAUUGAGAUUUUAUAACAAUGGCUUUAGUGGCGGACUGGUGAGUAACGCGUGAGCAACCUGCCUACUAGAGGGGAAUAACAGUGAGAAAUCAUUGCUAAUACCGCAUAUGCCAUGAACAUCACAUGAUGAAAAUGGGAAAAGAGUAAUCUGCUAGUAGAUGGGCUCGCGUCUGAUUAGAUAGUUGGUGGGGUAACGGCCUACCAAGUCGACGAUCAGUAGCCGGACUGAGAGGUUGAACGGCCACAUUGGGACUGAGAUACGGCCCAGACUCCUACGGGAGGCAGCAGUCGGGAAUAUUGCGCAAUGGAGGAAACUCUGACGCAGUGACGCCGCGUAUAGGAAGAAGGUUUUCGGAUUGUAAACUAUUGUCGUUAGGGAAGAUACAAGACAGUACCUAAGGAGGAAGCUCCGGCUAACUACGUGCCAGCAGCCGCGGUAAUACGUAGGGAGCAAGCGUUAUCCGGAUUUAUUGGGUGUAAAGGGUGCGUAGACGGGACAACAAGUUAGUUGUGAAAUCCCUCGGCUUAACUGAGGAACUGCAACUAAAACUAUUGUUCUUGAGUGUUGGAGAGGAAAGUGGAAUUCCUAGUGUAGCGGUGAAAUGCGUAGAUAUUAGGAGGAACACCGGUGGCGAAGGCGACUUUCUGGACAAUAACUGACGUUGAGGCACGAAAGUGUG
rnacentral:rRNA from 1 species